CUACGGGCGGCUCCAGUGGGGAAUAUUGGACAAUGGGGGAAACCCUGAUCCAGCAAUGCCGCGUGUGUGAAGAAGGCCUGCGGGUUGUAAAGCACUUUCGGUUGGGAGGACUGCUUCUAGCACUAAUAUUGUUGGAAGUUGACGUUACCUUCAGAAGAAGCACCGGCUAACUCCGUGCCAGCAGCCGCGGUAAUACGGAGGGUGCAAGCGUUAAUCGGAAUUACUGGGCGUAAAGCGCGCGUAGGCGGCUAGAUCAGUCGGGUGUGAAAGCCCCGGGCUUAACCUGGGAACUGCAUCCGAUACUGUCUAGCUUGAGUACAGGAGAGGAGAGUGGAAUUCCACAUGUAGCGGUGAAAUGCGUAGAUAUGUGGAGGAACUCCAAUGGCGAAGGCAGCUCUCUGGCCUGACACUGACGCUGAGGUGCGAAAGUGUGGGGAGCAAACAGGAUUAGAUACCCCAGUAGUC
rnacentral:rRNA from 1 species